AGACUCCAAAGACUAAGAUAAAAGACCAAUAUCAUGGGAAGUAGACUAGCUAGUAAACCAUUUUCAUCUUGUGUAUUAUGUUUUUUUUUUUUUUUUUUUUUUUUAAAAUGGCUAAAUAACUAGCAGGAAAAUAAUGGGAGGGUGUAAUUGAGAAAAUAUUAGAAAUGAAGGUACGGAAGCAACGAAAAAAGAUCUUAAAAGUUUAUUAGAGUGUUGCAACUAUUGAAAUUAUGAUUAUCGCGAAGCUAUUAAUGAAAGGGCUAAUUUAAAGGAUCAUCUCUAUACUUUCACUAGCCCCGAAAUAACCCAAUAACCUCUAUGGCUUGUAAACAAAUAACUCAAGAAACACGGUAUAUGGUCAGUUAUGGAUGAAAUUUUGAAGAAAAAUUAUUACUAAUCUACAUCUAAGAAAAACCAUCCUGGCUUCAUUCACUGUAUUUAGUGGAAAUGUAGUUCACAAGAUUAUCGAAUUAGAUUGUUAUUCCUCAAUAUGCAUGACUCCAAGCGGUCCUUUGGUUUUAUUUCCUGUUUUAAAGGGAAAUGAAUUAAAUUCUUAUUCCUUAGAAAAUCUCAAUGACGCUUUUAAACGUACUUGUACAUUGGACCUACUUUACUGGAGAAACAUUUGCGGUCAGCAACUACUAUUAAGUUACUAACCUCAUGGCAGCUAAAUUUUGAAAAAUGAC